rnacentral:tRNA from 1 species
UUAUCUUGGCAGAAUAGUGUGAUAGAUUUAGAAUCUUUUUAUGUAAUGUAUUACAGAUAAUAU